GCAACGGCCUAAAUUUGAANUCUGACCCCUACCGGGGGCCCGAGUUGUAAUUUGUAGAGGGUGCUUCGGCGUUGGACCUCAGGUUAAGUCCCCUGGAACGGGGCGUCAUAGAGGGUGAAAGUCCCGUAUUCGCCAGGGCGUCCUUCCUGCCGUGUGAAGCCCCUUCGAAGAGUCGAGUUGUUUGGGAAUGCAGCUCUAAGCGGGAGGUAAAUUCCUUCUAAGGCUAAAUACCGGCCAGAGACCGAUAGCGCAAAAGUAGAGUGAUCGAAAGAUGAAAAGCACUUUGGAAAGAGAGUUAAAAAGCACGUGAAAUUGUUGAAAGGGAAGCUCUUGCUGCCAGACUUGCCGCGGAAGCUCAGCUGCCCCCCCUCCGUUGGAGGGUGGCGUACUCUCCCGUCGGCAGGCCAGCGCCGGUUCGGGCGGUCGGAUAAGGACCCCGGGAAAGUAGCACCCUGUCGGGGUGUGUUAUAGCCCGGGGCAUCAUACGGCCCGCCCGGUCCGAGGCACGCGUUCGCUAGGGCGCUGGCGUAAUGGUCGUAAGCGACCCGUCUUGAAACACGGACCAAGGAGUCUGACAUCUACGCGAGUGUUUGGGCGUAAAACCCACGCGCGAAAUGAAAGUGAGCGGAGGUGGGAACCCCCCGCGAGGGGUGCACCAUCGACCGAUCCUGAAGUGCUCGGACGGAUUUGAGUAAGAGCGUAGCUGUUGGGACCCGAAAGAUGGUGAACUAUUCCCGGAUAGGGUGAAGCCAGAGGAAACUCUGGUGGAGGCUCGCAGCGGUUCUGACGUGCAAAUCGAUCGUCAAAUCUAGGAAUAGGGGCGAAAGACUAAUCGAACC
rnacentral:rRNA from 1 species